CACCCAACUUACUCUCUCAAGUCAAAACCUAUCCUGCAACAUAUCUCCCUUAAAGGGCUUGGACAUCACAAUAGGUUCUAAAAUGUAUGCUCUCCUUAGUAUUUAGUGAUAUCUAGGGCCCAAAGUAUUCAGCACCUUCAAGAAGGAUUGGAAAACUUCAGUAAAUUCCUCUCAGGAAGCCUUGACUUGCAAUUCCCAGGUCUGGGAUAUCUCCUCCACAGCUCCUGGUUCUUGUUAUCCCAGAGGGGGAAGAAGCAAUGACAGCAUAAAGGAUGUUGGUGGAACACCCCCUUAUAGUCACUUGUCACAGGAGUGUAGAAAAGUUCAUGUUUCCCAGUGGGAGCAGAAGGGAUUGGUUAGUCAUCCAAAGACUUAAGGACUACAACUUUCUCACAAAACCUGAGGAAAGGAACUAUGUUCCCUACUGAGUAGAAACAGGAGAGGAACAUGAGACACAAAGACGGGCCUUUACAUUUGAGGAAAAUGGAGUCUAUUUGGAGAUGACGCUGGAAAAUUCAUCUGAGCUAGCACCUCUGUGAGUUGAAUGGUGGGAAAAGAUGGUGAUCACCGAGCUCUACCACACAGCAGGAAACAAUGACUGAGCCUUGAGGAUGAAGACCUUUGUGAGGUCAUAAAGCAGCAGUGAUUGCAAUUAAUUGCUGAUAAAUAUGAAAGAGCCUCUUGUUCCUGGAGGUGAGGCGCCAGGACAAAGUACAGAAGCAGCAGCUUGGAAAGGCAAGUCUCUGAACUGUGGUUGUGAGACGGAUUAGAUGUAAUGGGUGUCGGGAGGCAGAGAGGAAGUAAGAGUGCAAAAAUGAUCAUGAGAGAACCCCAAAGGUGGG